UACGUAGGGGGCAAGCGUUGUCCGGAAUCAUUGGGCGUAAAGCGCGUGUAGGCGGUCCGGUAAGUCCGCUGUGAAAGUCGGGGGCUUAACCCUCGGAUGCCGGUGGAUACUGUCGGGCUUGAGUACGGAAGAGGCGAGUGGAAUUCCUGGUGUAGCGGUGAAAUGCGCAGAUAUCAGGAGGAACACCAAUUGCGAAGGCAGCUCGCUGGGACGUUACUGACGCUGAGACGCGAAAGCAUGGGGAUCAAACAGG
rnacentral:rRNA from 1 species